rfam:Danaus plexippus plexippus isolate F-2 unplaced genomic scaffold DPSCF300038, whole genome shotgun sequence.
ACAUUUAAAUUAAGGAAUACAUGUACUAAAAUUGAAACGAUGCAGAGAAGAUUAGCAUGGCCCCUGCGCAAGGAUGACAAACAAAAUCGUGAAGCGUGCCAUAUUUUU